rnacentral:rRNA from 1 species
GACGAACGCUGGCGGCGUGCUUAACACAUGCAAGUCGAACGGAAAGGCCCUGCUUUUGUGGGGUGCUCGAGUGGCGACCGGGUGAGUAACACGUGAGUAACCUGCCCUUGACUUUGGGGUAACUUCAGGCAACUGGGGCUAAUACCGGAUAGGAGCUCCUGCUGCAUGGUGGGGGUUGGAAAGUUUCGGCGGUUGGGGAUGGACUCGCGGCUUAUCAGCUUGUUGGGUGGGUAGUGUCUUACCAAGGCUUUGACGGGUAGCCGGGCUGAGCGGGUGACAGGCCACGCUGGGAUUGGGAUACGACCCAGACUCCUACGGUACGCAACGGUGGAGAAGAGUGUACAGGGGACGGGAGCAUGACGUAGCAACGCAGCGCGCGGUAUGAGGGGCAUGGGGUUGGAUUGUACAGUCGCCUGUGCCGGAGUGAGAAUGACGGUAACGGGUGAAGAAGCACCGGCUAACUACGUG